GAUGAACGCUGGCGGCGUGCUUAACACACGCAAGUCGAACGGAAAGGCUCCUGCUUGCAGGGGUACUCGAGUGGCGAACGGGUGAGUAACACGUGGGUGAUCUGCCCUGCACUUCGGGAUAAGCCUGGGAAACUGGGUCUAAUACCGGAUAGGACGAUGGAUUGGAUGCCAUUGUGGAAAGAUUUUUCGGUGUGGGAUGGGAUCGCGGCCUCUCAGCUUGUUGGGGGGGUAAUGGCCUACCAAGGCGUCGCCGGGUAGCCGGCCUGGGAGGGUGAACGGCCACAGUGGGACUGGGAAGGGGCCCGGACUCCAACGGGGGGCAGCAGUGGGGAAUAUUGCGCAAUGGGCGCAAGCCGUAUGCAGCGACGCCGCGUGGGGGAUGACGGCCUUCGGGUUGUAAACUCCUUUCGCUAGGGACGAAGCGCAAGUGACGGUACCUGGAGAAGAAGCACCGGCUAACUACGUG
rnacentral:rRNA from 1 species